GAUGAACGCUGGCGGCGUGCCUAAUACAUGCAAGUCGAGCGGUAAGGCUUUCACAGAUUAUUUAACCAGAUAAGUUCUUCGGAAAACUGUUUGCAGCGAUGAUUCCCCGGCUAGGGAAUCAGAGUUGAAUAAUGCGUGAAAGUACACGAGCGGCGGACGGCUGAGUAACACGUAGGAACGUACCCCAAAGUGAGGGAUAAGCACCGGAAACGGUGUCUAAUACCGCAUGUGAUCUUCGGAUUAAAGCUUCGGCGCUUUGGGAACGGCCUGCGCAUGAUUAGCUUGUUGGUGAGGUAAAAGCUCACCAAGGCGACAAUCAUUAGCUGGUCUGAGAGGAUGAUCAGCCAGACUGGGACUGAGAACGGCCCAGACUCCUACGGGAGGCAGCAGUAGGGAAUUUUCCACAAUGGACGAAAGUCUGAUGGAGCAACGCCGCGUGCAGGAUGAAGGGUUUCGGCUCGUAAACUGCUUUAUCUGUGAAGAUUAUGACGGUAG
rnacentral:rRNA from 1 species